rnacentral:rRNA from 1 species
GAUGAACGCUGGCGGCGUGCCUAAUACAUGCAAGUCGAGCGAACAGACGAGGAGCUUGCUCCUCUGACGUUAGCGGCGGACGGGUGAGUAACACGUGGAUAACCUACCUAUAAGACUGGGAUAACUUCGGGAAACCGGAGCUAAUACCGGAUAACAUGUUGAACCGCAUGGUUCAACAGUGAAAGACGGUUUUGCUGUCACUUAUAGAUGGAUCCGCGUCGCAUUAGCUAGUUGGUAAGGUAACGGCUUACCAAGGCGACGAUGCGUAGCCGACCUGAGAGGGUGAUCGGCCACACUGGAACUGAGACACGGUCCAGACUCCUACGGGAGGCAGCAGUAGGGAAUCUUCCGCAAUGGGCGAAAGCCUGACGGAGCAACGCCGCGUGAGUGAAGAAGGUCUUCGGAUCGUAAAACUCUGUUAUUAGGGAAGAACAAAUGUGUAAGUAACUAUGCACGUCUUGACGGUACCUAAUCAGAAAGCCACGGCUAACUACGUG